UCGCGCUUCUUACUUUAGAAAGAUUGCAGGGGCGCUCACGUUUUUUGGCCCCUUCCCGGCCCGGAAGUUCGCUUCCGGCGACUAGCUUCUACCGCUAGCGCUUGGACUUGGAAGCAAUUUUAUUGCCUUGAAUCAAUCAAUGAAUGAAAAGAAACCGCUUACCGAGGCGACCAGCGGAAGCUCGACUGAGUUGGAGAGGAAGAGUUCGGGAAGGAAAGGUUGGUUCGAGGACCCGUUGGUCAAAGGAAAGGGGAGGUCCUGAUUCCGGGACGGAGCCGUAUGACGCGAGAGUGUCACGUACGGUUCCUUUGAGAAGGGUGUGAUACCACCACCUAUCAGGCCCGACGAGCGGUCCACGGAGCUGCAUCCUUACUCACCUGGUC
rnacentral:misc_RNA from 1 species